AUGGAUCAGGAAAGCACUUUCGCCCGGGUGGAGAGGACUCUGUGGACGGUCUGGUGUUAUUUCACCGAAGCUGUGAACAGAUUCAUCAGAACGCAGGAAGCUGGUCCCAGCAGCAGUGACCCGGCUGACGGUGAGCCUCCAGACUCCGAACACACACAGGACAACACAGAAGAUUCCCAUGGAGGAGGAAUCAGUGAGGUGCAACUUCUUCCCUCCAUCUCUCUGCUCAGCUCAUCUGCAUCAGUUGUUGCCUGGACAGUUGGCACAAGCGACUCUAAGUCUGAGGAAGGAGACACACAGAAAAGAAGAGGCCAUGAGAGCAAAGGCUCUGAUGGCGGUAAAGCCACCAGACAGGAACACGUCGACCAAACAGGAAAUGACCGAGCACAGCUGCUGGCUAUUGAAAAGGAAACAACAAAUCAACUCAAACGAGAAGAAACUGAGAAUGAAGAAUCCUACACUAGUGAACGAGUCAAAGUGACCAGUGAAGAUAACCAGGUUACAGGAGAUAAUGGAGAUGUUCUGGAUGAAGAGAAAAGUGAAGGAGUUUGCACCAGAACAGCAGAGGAGGUCCGCGUGAUCACAGGGGAGGAAGGAGAAGAGGAGAAUAGUGCAGAAGAGUUGAACACUUGCAUGUUUCAGGUGAGCUCUGAAGCUGGAUUUCAGCCUUCAAUCUGUGAUGGUGAUGAUGUCAUUGUUAUUAGACAAGAGGUUGGGGGUGAAGAUGAUCAGACAGAGGAUGAGACAGCUCAGAUGGAGGAAGAAGACAUCAAUGAGGUUGCAAACAAUCAGGCGAAAGGAGAAGAGGAAAAACAGGAAAACAGCAGCAGAAUGACCACAGAUGGCUAUGACGAGGCAACUCUAUCAACUCACUGCAGCGAGGACGCCGUGCAGACAACACAAGAAAACGCAGAGAAGUUCGUAGAUAAAGGAGAGAAAGUGGUGGUCACUGUUACACGCAGCACCUCUCUCUCAGAUGUGAGUGCAGCAGGAACGAAUCUAGAUCAAAUCAUUGUUGAUGAAGGUGAGAUGGACGUGGAGAGGCUCUCCGGGAAAGUCCACAACAAAGAGAGCCGCUGGGAAAAUGACUGUGCCACCUCCUUGGUUACAGUAAAACCCGAAGGACUGAAGACUGAACAGGAAGCAAGCAGAGAGUCCAAAAAUAUUCCCCAGGUUGCAAUCGAAGGCCAGGAUCCUGCGCUGAACGAAACGAUUCCCAAAGCAUGCGAGGAAACACAAGAGGGGGUUCCUGAGCACAACAAUGAGCUCGGGUCAGAUGAAAACAAAACACAAAGCUUCUUGGAGAGAGGAAAUUAUGGGGAAAUCCGCAACAGUCAAUUACCAGAAGAGGUGGAGAAGGAGGAACAGGCGAGCCUUAAAAACAGUGGCAUGGGAGCAGACUAUUUACUGGAGGAGGAACAAGAUUUAGCUGUGGAGGAGCUCACUGGAAAUCUGCACUUUGCACAAGAAACAGAGGAACCCCCCGUCGGAGUGGGAAACCUGGAGUGCAAGGAGGAAGAGGUUGAGUGUCUGGACACCUCAAUGAAGACGGAGAUCAAACCUUCAGACAAGGACGAGACCUGCAGCAACUCAGUAGAUGAGACAAACAAAGAUCUGCAAGAAGCUGCAGAACUUGGAAAUAACCAAGAUGAAACAUCAAAUUCCCUCGAGGUGAAUGUAGAAAUGACAGAGACACACUUCUGUCAAGAAUCCAUGAAAUCCAUCGAACCCAGCGGUGAUGAGAGCUUUAGUUUAGCAAAGGAAAUCCCUGAUUCUGGGGUUUUGCAACUAAUUGAAUCUAAGUUAUCUGAUGACAGCGCUGUAGAAACUCAAUCCGUUGGGGCUGACACUGAGGAAAGAGAUUACACUGAUGAAGCGGAGGAAGAAAUCUGUGUUACAGGAGAGGAGCUUAUAAUCAGUCAGGAAGACAAAGAAACACCCCUGACUGAACAGUCGGAGUCAUCUCCAAAUCCUGAGGCACAGGCGACAAUAACUCAACCUUCUGUCGAAACAGACCAGGAAGAUAAGAUCGAGACAAUAACGGACACUGAUGCUGUUGAGUCAGGGGCAACAGAAUCCAAAGAUCUUCCUGCAAUGCCAGUGGAGGACACAGAACAUCCAUCCCAACCAGAGGAGCAGCACGACCAAGACACGAGCAGCUCAAUCAGAGGACAAGAAGAUGUCAUCGAUGAGGAAAUCCUAGACUUGUGGAUAGAGGCGGCAAUGUCCAACGAUUCCAGCCAAGAGGAAGAGCCUCAAACUGACACAAUGAAAGACCAGAUGGAGGAAGAGUUGUGUGAAAUGUUACCAGAGGAGUCCGAGCAGAUGCCUUCAUCAGUCAGUUCCACAGAAACGUCUUUGUCAAAUUUAGACUUUGGAUUUUUGGACCAGUCUUCUGUUGAUGUUCAGACCCCGAAACCUGAAGAUACUGGAUCACUUGAAGAUGUGCGUGACACCCUGGCUACUGUGUCAGAAUCAGCCAGUUCCUCUGAACUUUCAGAAGAUAAUUCUGAAUCUCGAGCUGUCAUGAAAGAGGAAACAGGGGAAUCUGUAGAGUCUUUUCUGAGAGGGAAGGAGUCAGCCAGAGGGACCGAACAAAUGGAUUCACAGGAGGAAAAUCAGCUCACUGAGAAACCUGAGACAGCAGGAGAGGAAAACUCAUCUGGGACGGAGGCUGAGACGAAGGCAGGGGGGAGGGACACUGAAGAAGGAGAUGAAAUGUCACUGGUUGAAGGCAUUGAUCAAAAUGAAGAAAAGAUGUUUGGAAUAUCAGUCGAACUCCGAGUUACUGAACCCAGGCUGACUUUGUUAGAGGAGACAGCAUUUUGGACAGAGCUUUGUUCUGGAUCUGAGGACAAGCAGCGUUCAGAGGAUGCACCAGACCACAGAUGGUCCUUACCCGCACUGAGCAGAGGUCAUGUGGCAGCAAGGCAGACAGCAUCAGAGGAUCAGAGUCAGCUAGACGCGCCGGUGCUGGACAUCACAGUGCAGAAGUCACGCAUUGCUGUCAAAAACCCCAAAGCGAGGCCCCCUAAAAACCCCCGCUCCCUGAUACACAAGCCUUCAGCUGAGCCAGCUCCCUCCACUCAUGUGCUGGUCAAAGAUCCUCCCGCUGUGCCUUUAGGUGGAUUGGGGAUUGGGAUCAAACUACCUGGUAGGUGACUUUUUGAUGUGUCCAAAGCUUGUUUUCUUUUCUUGUUCUUGUAUAACUCUUUUGUUUGUGUUUAGGGUUUGGAGCAGGUCUUCCUGUUUUAAAGAAGACUCAAACAUCUGUGGAAGUUGAGAAUAGCCAGGAUACUCAGAUACAGGUGCGACUAAUAAACACCUGCUUUUUAUUGUUGUUGUUGUUGUUAUUAUUGUUGUUGUUGUUAAUAUUAUUAUUAUUGUUGUUGUUGCUGUUGUUGUUGUUGUUGUGAGACAUUAUAUUAACAGAGUGAAAUCUGCAGGAACCUGAAACGCAAACAGAAGAGAAAAGUGAGGGUGUGAAACCAAAGUGGAAGCCACCAGGACAUCCAGGGUAAAUAAUAAUAAAAUAAUGUUAUUAAUACAUGUUAUUCUCAACUAAAUCAGGACAUGUCAGCUUUUUCUAAUUUUCAUUUUUUAUGUCUUCACAGAUUUGGAAUUCCACUUAUGUCUGAACUUAAGACCAAACUAAAGAAAACGCCCAAAGAGUGAAAAAUAUUGUUUUGUUUUUUAAACAAAUCCUGUAAAUAUUUUGAUAUGUUAAAAAUUAUUAUCUUCACUUUUAUUCAGCAGAGAACAAUAAUAAGAUCUCUAUCUUUUUUAAUGCUUACCUUUUAUAAUAAAACAUUAUCUUAAAAAUAAAGUGAAUGGUUUUAUUUUAUAAGGUAAAUGAGUUCUCUGUUUCAAAAGGGAGACUAAAGGACAAGAUCCAUGAAUGCUCUCUCUCUCUCUCUCUCUCUCUCUCUCUCUCUCUCUCUCUCUCUCUCUCUCUCUAAAGAAGACAUGUCAAUCAUGAGUUAAUGAGUCACCUGAAAAUAAUUGCUAUUUCAAAAUAUAUUAAAUUAAUUUUGGAUUUUGUGUGGUUUGUAUUGUCAUUUCAAUCAUACUGUUCAACUUAAAUGUGUUUUUGAGUAGGUUAACAGGAAGAACUCAAAUCCCUUUGAAACCACAUCAAACCACUCUGUACUUUUAACCUUAUAAAUGAAAAUAAACGUUUGGGGCUGCAUAAAUAAGAGGUGACUCCAGGACGGAGGGUUUCUCCAAAAAGAAACGUCGUACGCAGCACGGUGGGCAGUGUUGAAGAGUAAUUUGUCAUAAAUCUUUGUCUAAUUUCUAAUAAAUUGAGUUUUUACUUAAAACAACAGAUGGCGCUGUUGCUAAAACACAACAAGAUCCACGAAGAAGAAACCUCCUGCUGUGAUUGGUUAAAACCAUCAUAUAAGAAUAAACUGACGUUUUCAAACUUGAGCGGCGCUUCCAGAGGUCUCCAAGUGAAACCAACAUAGUUGUUAUAUUUUAGUUUUAUUUAACAUUUAUAGCUUUAAGUUUAGUUGGACCGUUUGAAAUAUUUCAAAUAAAACGUGUCUGUUUCAAGGUAAGUACCGAUAACUUCGUUUUACAAGCUAACGUUAUCCAACAAGCUGCUGGAUGUAAACGUUGGUUUAGUAAACCUGUCCUCGUGUUUAGUCCAGACCACUGAAUUAAUCUGCUUGUAGAACUUGGUCCAGAACUGAUUUUCAGAAUUUUCUGUAAUCCCCGAAAUAAUCUCCAGAUGGGCAAACAUCGACUUCUGGGCUCAUAAUGCAGACUUUCAAACAUUCAAACCGUUUUACAAAGUGUUUAAAAAUAAGUUUACGCGUUUGUUUUUGUUCUGUGACGUGUUUGAACCACGUCCCAGGCCUGUGGGGAGUGCUCGUGUGGAUUUAUAAAACAUUUGAUCAGAAUCUUUCACAAACAGGCUGAGAGCUGUAAAGGUUGACAUGGAUGUGUUUUGUUUUGACUCUUACUUUGAAAGCUAAAACCUAUUAGUAUAUAAAUAAAAUAAAAUGCAGCUGUGCUGUUUACAGCCACCUACAUUCUUGUUAGGGGUUUAAAAGUAGCUUGACAAACUGGACAAUCUGGACUGGUGUGGAAUUCUGAUUUUUAAAAAGGCUGUUUUGUGUUUUUCUGUUUGUUCUCUUUGAUCCACAGGGUGUCCGCCUGCAAAGAUCCUCAGAAAUGGCCCAAAUUAGGUGUUUGAAGUAGAUUUUAUUGCAGAGUUGUUUUGUUUUUAUAGAAUAAGAAUAAAUCCCUACUUUGUUAUAAGAUAAAAGGAAUAUUCCUCCUUCAUGGCCAGUGAGACAGCAAGGCAAACGUCCCUUAUUCAAGAAGAUCCUCCGGCAGAUGAAUGCCGUGAAAAUGUUCCACCUGAAGUUUCUGUGGCUACAACGCUGAAAGUUCAGCCUGAGAAUGAAAUGAGUUCCCCUGUGAGGCUGUGUGAAGGAACCAGACCUGGAUCUAAUAUUAAUACUUUAUCAACACCAACUCUGAGUGGUGGGCAUGGAGGCAAGGCAAGGUCACAGCUAUCUGGGAUACAGUCUGCUGUCACCCCAGUUUUAAAACGCUUAAAUAUCGACAACAAAUGCCCGAACCCUUUAAAACAUGGGAACAGUCCUCACCCAUCAUCUCCUUUUUACCCCGUGGAGGUUUCUACUGCACAUCGAGAAUCAAAAGGAGACUUCUGGAGACAAAUCUGGGCUAAAGAGGCUCCUUUCUCCCUGAUUGAAGAGGAGAGCUUGCCUGAAAUUUCCUCGCUUGAGCUUACCUACUUACACUUAACAGCAAACGAUUCAGUCCUCCCUCAAGGUUCAACUGCAACAUUUAGUGAUGAAACCCAUCAAAUUCAAGUGAGUGUUGGAGAAAGUGGUGGAUCUUCUGAGGUACCACAGCUGACCGCCACGACAACGAGCGCAGACCUCCGUACCAAGAGUGCUUCUGCAUUGGCGGGGAUACUAGACACUGAGAUCACUCUGCUUGAUGUUUCGUACAACAAUGAUCUCUCACCGGUUGGUCAGAUUUCGUCUUUGGACAUUAUUCGUGAUAUUCCCGCGUGUCAUUAUUUGAAUGACAGCAACACUUUGCCAGAACCAAGUAGACGGAUUGAGUCACAACCCAGCAGUUCAAACGUGUUUCUAAACAAGGAUGUGUCGAGUACGAGUAUGCAAUCCCCAAAGUGUGCAGCAGAAAGGACUAUCAGAAUGUCCCUGGAAGUAACUCGUGACAUUUCUGUGGGUAGUACCUUGGAAAAUGGCACAUUUUCAUCAGAGACUAGUGGACAGAAAAUGCAAACAUCUCACACAUCAGAUGAGGACAAAGUUGUCCCCCAACCUGCAAAUAUUACUCACGAUAUAAGCGCCUCUAGUGGUAACAGUAGUUCAAAGGAAAUCCCGUCUGAUGUGUGUCUGCAUUCUGGACCCAAAGAGGUCAACAAUCUUGUAGAAACAAAGAAUGAAGAGAACCAGACCUGCUGUGACACCAAGUCAACCAACAAGAUGUCACAGCAAAGUCCAGAACCCGCAGCAUCAGCCAACGACACGUUUACAGUCCCGUCUUCCAACAUGACUGCUUCUUCUGAUUCUAGCACCUCUGCUUCCUGUUCUGGGAAGAAUACGCUAGACCUUCCAACUGUAAACAAUCCAACCGCAGAAUCUGAGACCAAGAAUCAAGCGGAGUCGGUUGCCAAAACAUCCUUUGUUGUAAAUCAAAGCAGCUUUUCUGAAAAGAAAAACUUUGAAAAAUCCUCUCUUCAAAAAAGCAGCGGGGGCUCUACUUUAGAAGCUGCUGCCGUCGGCUUCGAGAACCUCACGUUUGACUGUAAAGCCCCCUCUCAGAGAAAUGGCACGAUCACUCUGUCGGAGAUCAGCUUGACUGAUGGUCAUCACACUUUGGACAAGCCCUCCUCUCCUAAAGUCUGUAAUUUAACCACCAGCCUAAAUCGCAAUGAUUCAGAAGAAAACCCCAAAGAGCUGCCGAGGCACGAGGCCAUGCCGCCGCCAGGGGCGGAGGAAAAACCUGGUGACACUUUGGAAGUCACACCUGCUCUGGAAGGCGUUUCUGGAGAUGAUGGAGGUGACGCCAAACAUCUGUCGCAGUCGGGUCUGCCUGUAAGGGAUGGUUCUUCCGACACGCCAAACAACCAAAGUGUGGAUGCCGUGAGCAACAAAACACCCGAGUUCAAUCUGGAUAAAACUCUGGAUUUUAGAGUAGACCUUUUGAUUACUUCAACACCGAUGACCAGCUGUAAAAGUUUUAACGUUGGCUCAAUCAGAGAGGCGGCUCACAAAAAGCUUUAUGAAGCUGGUCCCAGUAAGCCUGCUGACGCGGCGGUAUCGGAUAUCCCACCCAACAUAGUCGGUGACCGAAAAACCUUCAUGAGGCAGCCUGCUGUUGGAACCCUUCGCCCGCCUUCAAGAGUUGCUCCCCAGUCGUCAAUGAGCCGGCGGGGAUCCACCGUCCCUGGACGCCUGGAGAAGAUGUCGGCCGGCCUGCCUCUGAAGCAUUCCAGAAUCCAAGAGGCUGCUGGGAAACCCUCUGCUGCUAUGGAGGAGCCUCGGAGG
rnacentral:lncRNA from 1 species